rnacentral:tRNA from 1 species
GGUGGCUCAGUGGUAGAGUGCUUGCCUUGCAUGCAUGAGGCCCUGGGUUCAAUUUCUCAACACCA